rnacentral:rRNA from 1 species
AUGCACGCUGGCGGCGUGCCUCAUACAUGCCAGUCGAGCGAACAGACGAGGAGCUUGCUCCUCUGACGUUAGCGGCGGACGGGUGAGUAACACGUGGAUAACCUACCUAUAAGACUGGGAUAACUUCGGGAAACCGGAGCUAAUACCGGAUAAUAUAUUGAACCGCAUGGUUCAAUAGUGAAAGACGGUUUUGCUGUCACUUAUAGAUGGAUCCGCGCCGCAUUAGCUAGUUGGUAAGGUAACGGCUUACCAAGGCAACGAUGCGUAGCCGACCUGAGAGGGUGAUCGGCCACACUGGAACUGAGACACAGUCCAGACUCCUACGGGAGGCAGCAGUAGGGAAUCUUCCGCAAUGGGCGAAAGCCUGACGGAGCAACGCCGCGUGAGUGAUGAAGGUCUUCGGAUCGUAAAACUCUGUUAUUAGGGAAGAACAAAUGUGUAAGUAACUAUGCACGUCUUGACGGUACCUAAUCAGAAAGCCACGGCUAACUACGUG